AUGUAUUCAGAUAGUUAUCUGAUUUUCCCUUUGUUAUGUUCCAAAUUAUACCAAUAUGGAGUUUGUUUUUAGGCCAGUAUCUGUUUAGUUAGAGAAUUUGUGGAUUUGGUCAAGUGGGAAAAUCAGAUAACUAUCUGAAUACAUUCCCUCAAACCUUUUUGCUGUAUUCAAUGCUCUCCAGAACAACGACUUGUCGUUUUCAGGAGAGCAUUGAAUACAGCAAAAAGGUUUGAGGGAGAA
rnacentral:misc_RNA from 1 species